rnacentral:rRNA from 1 species
AUGUUCGACUAUCUAAAUGUUGUCAGCAAGAUGUUUGAUAGUGAGGCUGAAGGCUAUGAAUACAACAAAUAUGCUCUUGAAAAAGGUUUUAGUGUGAGGAAAAGCUACGUUGAGUGGGAUGGAUCCAACAAAUACAUAAUUUUAAGGAAAAUU